ACCAAUUUGGACUGUACUCGGAUAAGAAUUGCGCUCUAUAGAGACUCAAGAAGUCAAGAUCCGAGAGCGGUUUACAUGGCAGUUAUAUCUGGUUAUAAACCGAUUGGAACCAUUCUUGGCACAGUUGUUGAAAGUCAAAAUAAAAUUGCGCCCUCUGGAGGCUCAAGCAGUCAAGAUCCGAGUUCGGAUUUUAUGGAGCUAUAUCAAAACAUGUAUCGAUAUGCUCCAUUUACAUUCCCGACUGACCUACACAAACCAGAUGUAUUUGGGUAAAAUGUCAAGGGUCUAGCUUUGUUCCAUAGAAAGUAGGCGUGCUUGCGACAGAGAGACGAAUGGACAGACGGAUGGACAGACGGACGGACGGACGGACGGACGGACAGACGUACGGACAGACGGACGGACAGAUGGACGGACAGACGGACGGAUCUGGUAAAAUCGAUUCAGAAUGUCAAUAGGAUCAACAAUAUAUUGGGUUGCCCAAAAAGUAAUUGCGGAUUUUUCAUAUAGUCGGCGUUGACAAAUUUUUUCACAGCUUGUGACUCUGUAAUUGCAUUCUUUCUUCUGUCAGUUAUCAGCUGUUACUUUUAGCUUGCUUUAGAAAAUAAGUGUAAAAAUAGUAUAUUUGAUUAAGGUUCAUUCUAAGUUUUAUUGAAAAUGCAUUUACUUUCUUUUAAAAAAUCCGCAAUUACUUUUUGGGCAACCCAAUAUAUACUAUAUUAGAUCUCAGAUCAACAUGUCGAUGUGUUACAAACGGCAUGACUAAAUUAGUAUACCCCCAUCCUAUGUUGUAGGCUAUAACAAUCUAAUUCGAAAUUCAAAACGAAAUUGUUUUUAAAAUAGAUUUGGCAACUCUGUUAGUAAUUGGUGGUUUGCGUAACUUUCGAAACAUUUAAUUUAAGUGUCAACACGACAACUUUAAGAGUGUUUUUUCCAAACCUCCUCUCGACCCUUUCCCUCCCCUUUUUUCACACACUGCUACCAACUUACUCUUUCUCGACGUCAUUCUUUAUUACCCAUUGAAGUUAACAUUCAAAGUUCGUACAUUUGGGUGUUGUAAUCGCAUUUCGUUGCAUUUAAACAAAAGUUUAGUUCUUAUUGACAUUUGACACUAUAACAACCAUUACUCUUGGCCAGUGCGUUUAAAGUUCUGUCAAUUUCCGUUUCCUUUUCGAAAUAAAUGCUGGCAAAUGAACAAGAGAACAUUUACAUGAUUAAUUGCUCACAAAUGCCAAAGUAAUUUUGCAAUUAUUUGGGUUUUUUUGAAAAUUAUCUAAGUUUUUUGAAAAGCAUAUGCGGUGGGUGAUAAACAAAAGGACUCCUCGUUAUGUGAUAACUAUUUGUUUCUAUAGUCGAAACCAUAAAUUGUUGGAAAUGAUAGUGGCUAAAUUUCCAAGCAUUUAACAUUGACCCAAAAGCUGAUUUUGAUAACCAAAAUGAAUGAAGAGAAGACAAGGGAGCUAAAUGUGGCUCUAUUGAAUAUAGGCCAAUUUAUUUGUCCUUCAUUGUGUUAAGCAUGAAGGGGCAAAUUAAUGACUUCAAAAAUGAGACCUUGAUUUUUUGUUUUAUCAGAGAAUUGGCAAAAUAAAUGACUUUAAUUUUUUAUUGAUUCA